GACGAACGCUGGCGGCGUGCUUAACGCAUGCAAGUCGAACGGAAAGGCCCUGCUUUUGUGGGGUGCUCGAGUGGCGAACGGGUGAGUAACACGUGAGUAACCUGCCCUUGACUUUGGGAUAACUUCAGGAAACUGGGGCUAAUACCGGAUAGGAGCUCCUGCAGCAUGGUGGGGGUUGGAAAGUUUCGGCGGUUGGGGAUGGACUCGCGGCUUAUCAGCUUGUUGGUGGGGUAGUGGCUUACCAAGGCUUUGACGGGUAGCCGGCCUGAGAGGGUGACCGGCCACAUUGGGACUGAGAUACGGCCCAGACUCCUACGGGAGGCAGCAGUGGGGAAUAUUGCACAAUGGGCGGAAGCCUGAUGCAGCAACGCCGCGUGCGGGAUGACGGCCUUCGGGUUGUAAACCGCUUUCGCCUGUGACGAAGCGUGAGUGACGGUAAUGGGUAAAGAAGCACCGGCUAACUACGUG
rnacentral:rRNA from 1 species